CCGCCUGGUGGAUGGCGGUGUUCCCGGGACUGGCGAUCCUGGUGACGGUGCUGGCGUUCAACCUCGUGGGCGAC
rnacentral:tRNA from 1 species